rnacentral:rRNA from 1 species
AUUGAACGCUGGCGGAAUGCUUUACACAUGCAAGUCGAACGGCAGCACGGACUUCGGUCUGGUGGCGAGUGGCGAACGGGUGAGUAAUGUAUCGGAACGUGCCCAGUCGUGGGGGAUAACGUAGUGAAAAUUACGCUAAUACCGCAUACGAUCUAUGGAUGAAAGCGGGGGAUCGCAAGACCUCGCGCGAUUGGAGCGGCCGAUAUCAGAUUAGGGAGUUGGUGGGGUAAAGGCGCACCAAGCCAACGAUCUGUAGCUGGUCUGAGAGGACGACCAGCCAACCUGGAACUGAGACACGGUCCAGACUCCUACGGGAGGCAGCAGUGGGGAAUUUUGGACAAUGGGCGAAAGCCUGAUCCAGCCAUUCCGCGUGCAGGAUGAAGGCCCUCGGGUUGUAAACUGCUUUUGUACAGAACGAAAAGGUUUCUACUAAUACUAGGAGCUCAUGACGGUACUGUAAGAAUAAGCACCGGCUAACUACGUGCCAGCAGCCGCGGUAA